UGCCCAGCAACUCCUAUCCCUACCUCCUCGUGGUACUGGCCGAGGUACGAGUAACCUUGGGGAAGA
rfam:Aedes aegypti strain Liverpool supercont1.21 genomic scaffold, whole genome shotgun sequence.